CUGGUCAAGGAUGAGCCCGCGGCGGAUUAGCUUGUUGGCGGGGUAACGGCCCACCAAGGCGACGAUCCGUAGCUGGUCUGAGAGGACGAUCAGCCACACUGGGACUGAGACACGGCCCAG
rnacentral:rRNA from 1 species